ACAUCGAAAAGAAAAAAAACAAAGCAUAAAAAGGCAACGGCCUGAUUUGCUUCUGUUUUUUUUUAUUAUUUUUUUUUUUUUAUGUGUUAGGGGGAGGGGUGUGGAGUGCAUAUUUUUUAUCAUUCAUUGUGUUUGUUUGAAUAUA
rnacentral:ribozyme from 14 species